rnacentral:rRNA from 10 species
GGGUUGUGAGGUUAAGCGACUAAGCGUACACGGUGGAUGCCCUGGCAGUCAGAGGCGAUGAAGGGCGUGCUAAUCUGCGAUAAGCGCCGGUAAGGUGAUAUGAACCGUUAUAACCGGCGAUACCCGAAUGGGGAAACCCAGUGUGACUCGUCACACUAUCAUUAACUGAAUCCAUAGGUUAAUGAGGCGAACCGGGGGAACUGAAACAUCUAAGUACCCCGAGGAAAAGAAAUCAACCGAGAUUCCCCCAGUAGCGGCGAGCGAACGGGGAGGAGCCCAGAGCCUGAAUCAGCAUGUGUGUUAGUGGAAGCGUCUGGAAAGGCGCGCGAUACAGGGUGACAGCCCCGUACACAAAAGCGCAUGUGCUGUGAGCUCGAUGAGUAGGGCGGGACACGUGGUAUCCUGUCUGAAUAUGGGGGGACCAUCCUCCAAGGCUAAAUACUCCUGACUGACCGAUAGUGAACCAGUACCGUGAGGGAAAGGCGAAAAGAACCCCGGCGAGGGGAGUGAAAAAGAACCUGAAACCGUGUACGUACAAGCAGUGGGAGCCCCACCACUAAGCCAGUGGUGAACUCCACAUCCGCAUCCUUUGCUGAGGAUACGGUUAACGGAGCGAAAGCGACGUUCAACCGCAAAACAAGCAGAGGGGGCUUAGUGGUGGGGUGACUGCGUACCUUUUGUAUAAUGGGUCAGCGACUUAUAUUCUGUAGCAAGGUUAACCGUAUAGGGGAGCCGGAGGGAAACCGAGUCUUAAUUGGGCGUUAAGUUGCAGGGUAUAGACCCGAAACCCGGUGAUCUAGCCAUGGGCAGGUUGAAGGUUGGGUAACACUAACUGGAGGACCGAACCGACUAAUGUUGAAAAAUUAGCGGAUGACCUGUGGCUGGGGGUGAAAGGCCAAUCAAACCGGGAGAUAGCUGGUUCUCCCCGAAAGCUAUUUAGGUAGCGCCUCGUGAAUUCAUCUCCGGGGGUAGAGCACUGUUUCGGCUAGGGGGCCAUCCCGGCUUACCAACCCGAUGCAAACUGCGAAUACCGGAGAAUGUUAUCACGGGAGACACACGGCGGGUGCUAACGUCCGUCGUGAAGAGGGAAACAACCCAGACCGCCAGCUAAGGUCCCAAAGUCAUGGUUAAGUGGGAAACGAUGUGGGAAGGCCCAGACAGCCAGGAUGUUGGCUUAGAAGCAGCCAUCAUUUAAAGAAAGCGUAAUAGCUCACUGGUCGAGUCGGCCUGCGCGGAAGAUGUAACGGGGCUAAACCAUGCACCGAAGCUGCGGCAGCGAACGUAUCACCCAAGACAACUUUACGGAGUUGACGAUUGACGGAGCGAAGCGACGUCAAAGCGUUCAUUAAAGUCGAGUUGGCUUAGGGAUACGUUCGUUGGGUAGGGGAGCGUUCUGUAAGCCUGUGAAGGUGUGUCGUGAGGCAUGCUGGAGGUAUCAGAAGUGCGAAUGCUGACAUAAGUAACGAUAAAGCGGGUGAAAAGCCCGCUCGCCGGAAGACCAAGGGUUCCUGUCCAACGUUAAUCGGGGCAGGGUGAGUCGACCCCUAAGGCGAGGCCGAAAGGCGUAGUCGAUGGGAAACGGGUUAAUAUUCCCGUACUUGGUGUUACUGCGAAGGGGGGACGGAGAAGGCUAUGUUGGCCGGGCGACGGUUGUCCCGGUUUAAGCGUGUAGGUGUGUGUUCCAGGUAAAUCCGGUUCACUUUAACACUGAGGCGUGACGACGAGGCACUACGGUGCUGAAGCAACAAAUGCCCUGCUUCCAGGAAAAGCCUCUAAGCAUCAGGUAACACGAAAUCGUACCCCAAACCGACACAGGUGGUCAGGUAGAGAAUACCAAGGCGCUUGAGAGAACUCGGGUGAAGGAACUAGGCAAAAUGGUGCCGUAACUUCGGGAGAAGGCACGCUGACACGUAGGUGAAGUGAUUUACUCAUGGAGCUGAAGUCAGUCGAAGAUACCAGCUGGCUGCAACUGUUUAUUAAAAACACAGCACUGUGCAAACACGAAAGUGGACGUAUACGGUGUGACGCCUGCCCGGUGCCGGAAGGUUAAUUGAUGGGGUCAGCGUAAGCGAAGCUCCUGAUCGAAGCCCCGGUAAACGGCGGCCGUAACUAUAACGGUCCUAAGGUAGCGAAAUUCCUUGUCGGGUAAGUUCCGACCUGCACGAAUGGCGUAAUGAUGGCCAGGCUGUCUCCACCCGAGACUCAGUGAAAUUGAACUCGCUGUGAAGAUGCAGUGUACCCGCGGCAAGACGGAAAGACCCCGUGAACCUUUACUAUAGCUUGACACUGAACAUUGAGCCUUGAUGUGUAGGAUAGGUGGGAGGCUUUGAAGUGUGGACGCCAGUCUGCAUGGAGCCGACCUUGAAAUACCACCCUUUAAUGUUUGAUGUUCUAACGUGGACCCGUAAUCCGGGUUGCGGACAGUGUCUGGUGGGUAGUUUGACUGGGGCGGUCUCCUCCUAAAGAGUAACGGAGGAGCACGAAGGUUGGCUAAUCCUGGUCGGACAUCAGGAGGUUAGUGCAAUGGCAUAAGCCAGCUUGACUGCGAGCGUGACGGCGCGAGCAGGUGCGAAAGCAGGUCAUAGUGAUCCGGUGGUUCUGAAUGGAAGGGCCAUCGCUCAACGGAUAAAAGGUACUCCGGGGAUAACAGGCUGAUACCGCCCAAGAGUUCAUAUCGACGGCGGUGUUUGGCACCUCGAUGUCGGCUCAUCACAUCCUGGGGCUGAAGUAGGUCCCAAGGGUAUGGCUGUUCGCCAUUUAAAGUGGUACGCGAGCUGGGUUUAGAACGUCGUGAGACAGUUCGGUCCCUAUCUGCCGUGGGCGCUGGAGAACUGAGGGGGGCUGCUCCUAGUACGAGAGGACCGGAGUGGACGCAUCACUGGUGUUCGGGUUGUCAUGCCAAUGGCACUGCCCGGUAGCUAAAUGCGGAAGAGAUAAGUGCUGAAAGCAUCUAAGCACGAAACUUGCCCCGAGAUGAGUUCUCCCUGAGACUUAGAGUCUCCUGAAGGAACGUUGAAGACGACGACGUUGAUAGGCCGGGUGUGUAAGCGCAGCGAUGCGUUGAGCUAACCGGUACUAAUGAACCGUGAGGCUUAACCUUACAACGCCGAAG